rnacentral:lncRNA from 1 species
GAUAUUUCCAAUAAACAUCAAAGGUUCAGCAGGAAGCCUGGUGAUUUUACUCCACAACUGCAGCAAUUGGAUAGUUACAUACACUUUCCAUUUCACGAUGGAAUGGAGCAGAACAGGCACCUGAAACCCCCCACCAUAUAUGCUCGUACUAUUUUCCACUUCUCAAUCCUCUUUAUCUUGCUCUCUAAUUACAAGUCUGUGUUGGCUGCUAUGGCAGGAACAUUUUCUAUAUUCUGGGUCAUUUGCGCUGCCGCUGUCCUGUUCGUUGCAUUUCUGGUGCCGGAGACCAAGGGACGACACUCGAAGAAAUUCAAGUAUCAAUUACAAAGUAUUAAUAAAUUUUAUAACAGAACUCCACAUUUGUCCAAAACCAUGCACAUAUAAAUGCCUUAAUAAAAUGGUGUAUAUGAUCUUGGAGCUGAAUUAUUACAAAAAUGAGAAAAUGGCUAAGACCUUAAAAAGUUGAGAGACAAGGAUUGAAAGAUGAAGAAUAAAGUAGCUGGGAGAAGAAGAAGAAAGUCGAUAAGAGUGGGAAAAUGUGCAGAAUAAGUUUGAUAAUUUAUUGAGUAUUUGUUGCGCAUGUAUGGCGCAUCAUGGCUACAGAAACAUCUCAGUUUAUGAUAAUUAUCAUUUUGUUGUGGAAUUAGUUGGAAAUUAUCCAGACAUACACAUAAAUAAUAAGAAGUUAAAAGGAUCAGGUCAAGAAAAUGGACGCCAACCUUUGUGAGAGUGGUCACCUGCUUCGAAGUUCUCAAUAACUCAUAAUAUAUUUCACUUUCACUGCUUUAGUGCGACUCGAAUCCUCUGCAUCUCCUAAUAUAUUUGACGUCUUUAGUGUGACCCAGUUUAGUACUCUAGUGCAUGACCUGUGAAUUGGCCUUUAUUCAAGGGUACGUCUAUCAGAGCACUCACGGGCCAUGUUGGCAAGUCAAAGCAUUGCCACGAUUUCCUGCCUGUCGCAAAAGGGCAUAAAUAAUUUUUUCGGGCAGUUGCAGUAGUUGUCAUGCGCUUGCUUCGUUCAUUUGCCUUGCUUUCCCUUGAAGAAAUUAAUCAUCAUGGAGAGACCAGAAGAAAGGUUGAAGUUGGAGGAAAGACUAAUUCCAAGUUCUUCACUUGCUGAUGAAAUUGGUGAUGGCAGUGGCAUGCAAGAAAGUGAUUCUUCAGCCACACCUGCUGUUGUUCUCGGCGCUUUGGUGGCCGUACGUGGUUCAUUUGCUUAUGGUUGAUCUGUAUGUACCAUUAUUAUCAUCAUGUUUUUAGUGUUGUUUUAUCUCUCUCUUUUUCAGUUCCUUUUCUUGAUGGCGUGUAUUUAGACAUGUUCAUUAGCUACACUAUAAACGUGAAUAAUUGGAGUGUCUUAGAAUUGUAACUGGGCUGUUACAUUCACAUUCCAUUUCAUGAUGGAAUGGAGCAAAACAGGUAUCCGAUAAUCCCCCAUGCUUAUACAUUUUCCAUUUCGCAAUCCUCUGUCUUCUGUGUUGGCUACUCUGGCAGGAACAUUUUCUAUAUUCUGGGUCAUAUGCGCCGCAGGUGUUGCGUUUGUUACAUUCCUGGUGCCGGCGACCAAGGGACGAACACUUGAAGAAAUACAAGCAUCAAUUACAAAGCUUUCUGGGAGAUAAAUCAAAAUCACUCCACUGCAAGUGUAAUAAUAACCUGGUUUGGUUGGACUGCAAGUGUAAACUCCCCUCACAGGAUGUGCUUGGUGUGACGCCCCGGAUUAGACUGUACUGGACUAAAAUGUACUAAGUUUAAAACGGUACUGGAUUAUAAUAUCUGUUAAAUUUUUUUAAUAAUAAUAGAUUAAUAUUAUUUGUGUACUUUAUAUUCUUAUUACUUAAUAAAAUAUUAUUAUUAUUACUAUUAUUAUUUUGUAUUAUCACCCGGGCUAAUGUUAAUCGCUGACAAUUGCUUUGUUGUCAUAUAAACCAAAGAUAAAUUUGUAGGGUCCAGUGAUCAUUUUAAAAAAAAACAAAAUUUUUGAGGCUUUUUCCUAGCCGCACGAGUUAGUGGGAAAUGGUGGGCCCCGUCAGUUGUCAGUUAAUCUAGGCCCAACCAGUGGACCGGGCCGAAAUCACAGUUAGCCUUUCCUUGGGUUUUCCGUCAUUUCCAUACCAUUGAAACUCAAAGAUUUUUAUUUUAUUUUCUUACCAAGCAGAAAACUGAUUGUUGUUGAAACUUUUUCUCUUCACAUGCACAGCUUGCAUGGAAAGUGACGCCGCAUUGAUUAUUUAUUUAUUUCAAAUACUGAUACGUUGCAAUCAAAAGCCUAAUGAUUCAAGAUAUAUGUCCAAUCUGCAUAAGAUAAGAGUGGGACGGGAAGCCAUACAAAAUCGAUACUACCCACAUGAUGAGUGUUUGGCUUUAGGAUGGUGUUUAUUAACAUGUCUGCAUUGUAACUCGCACUAAUUAGUAUUUCUUCUUUUUAUCAUUUUUUUUUAAAGAUAAGAGAAUAGAUAAAGCUUGAGUGUAUUUUUUAAAAUUACUCGACCGCGUUCCUAGAGACAAUAUAUAUAUAUAUAUAUAUAUAAGAAAAAUUAUCAGUACUUGCUCUUUUAUAUUGAUUACAACACAUGGGCAGGGCCUGAAACAGCCGCGGUGCACAUUUCAACGUACAAAAAAGGGGGACUGGAAGAGAGCAAAUGUACUUGCUGCAGCCAAAGAGAGACCAAGGCCCUCCAUGAUUUCGGAUUCAGCAGGAAUUGAAUGUCCCGCCUAAUUUCAUGCCAAUGGUCAAUACCAACUAUUUCGGAUAAUUAAUUCUUGUAAGUUAACAUGGUUCAGCUGGAAGCCAAUAUAUAUUUUUUUAAUUACUUGAGGUUAUUAGUUAGAGCACAAUUCAUAUUUCGUGAGACUCAGAUAAUUACUGAAAAUAGUAUUUUAUAAAGAGUAAAUUUUCUUUCCAUAUACUCAAUUAUACAAUAUAAUUAAGAAAAGAAUUAUCUCUUGAUUUUUUUUUGAGGGGUUUAAAUUGUGAUGACAAUAACCUUAAUCAUUGGGCCUAAAGUCAAGUGGCUUAUUGUUCCUAGUAAAAUUAAAAUUAAAGUUUUUUUCUAUUAUCAUAAUAUUGAAAAAAAAAAAAUUGUCAGGUGGGCUCUAUGCAGUCGCAUCAUUUCAACUGUUUUUUUUAUAAUUCCAAUAAUGCAGUGUUCUUUCUUUCACUUGCUCCUGUGAAAGAAUUAGGACAUGGAGAAUCCAGAAAGCUUGGAGGAGGGACUAAUAGCAAAGUCUUCACUUGCUCAGCCAAAUCCUAUAAAAAUUACAAAUGAAGUUGGUGAGCGCAGUGGCUUGCCGGAGAGUGACAAUUCUUCAGCUACACCCGUUGUUGUUCUUAGCACCUUGGUAGCCAUAUGUGGUUCAUUUGCUCAUGGCUGUUCUGUAAGUAGCAUACCGUUAUCAUGCAUGCUAGUUACUUUUUUUUGUUUCUUGAUCUUAAAUGUGAAGAAGAAAUGAGUAGAUUACCAUAAAAUUGAGUUUUUUUAUUGAUUUUUAACUGUCUAUCCUACCUACAAUCAUGUGAUUGGUAUUAGGUAAGCUUAGAUGACAGGUCCAGUACUUUGAUGUUAAAUGGUGUGUAUUUGUCAAAUGUUUUUCACUUUCAGCAAACAGUGGAAUAGUGUAUUAUGGUGGCUUACCAACUUGAGCAAAUUGGAUUGUUUCAAAGUUUCAUUCUUGUUUUGAAAUGCAGCUCAAUUAUCAAUUACCAAUCAACAGUUACUUUAAGCCAACGGAAUAGGAUCUUAUGUCAAUAUGUUUAACAUUAACAUAUAUGUUGUUAGUUGGUGACUUUAGAGAAUAGAGAUAAGCAUUAAUCAAAAUUUUCAUCAUCAAAUACAUGAAACGGGUGGACUAUCCUAAUCAUAAAAAAAAAAUAAUCUAUUAUAAUAUAUACUAAAAAUUCAAAUGCUUAUAAAGAUUUCUUCUGCAGCUGUCAUUCCAAUUUCUUAUUUCAUAGUUGUCGAAUGCUUCUUUUUUUCCAUUGCCCCUCUUUCGCUCAAGAAAAAUAAUGAUGGAGACAUCAGAAAGCUUGGAGGAAGGACUAAUUCCGAAUCCUCCACUUCUUGAGCCAACGCCUAUGAUCACCAAUGAAAUUGGUAAUGGCGGGGGCAUGUCUGAAAGUGAUUUUUCUACUACACCUGCUGUUGUUUUCAGCACCUUGGUGGCCAUAUGCGGCUCAUUUACUUAUGGCUGUGCUGUAAGAUCCAUUGCUGUUUUUUUUGCUGUCAGAGCAAGUCAAUACAUUUUUCUUGCAAGAUUAAUCUCUAAAUGCUUGAAGAUAGGAGGCUUUCAGGAGCAGUUUUGAGUGAAAUCACUUUCAUCACAAGCCACUAGUCAAAAUAUUAGUUUUUCAUUGACUGCAAUAGAUUGAUUGAUUGUUGUUUUCAGGUUGGAUAUUCAUCAGCUGCUGAGUCUGGAAUGAGGGCAGACCUGGGACUCUCAGUGACAGAAGUAAGUUGAGCAAGCCCAAGUUAUCCAUGAACACAGAACGCUAAAAUAAAUAAAUAAAUUCAUAUAAACUUUGGCCAGAAUAUGUCACUCUUGAUACACACACGUACACACAACAUCUAUUAUUGUGUAUGCAGAUUCACUUAAUUGAUCAUCACUAUUAUAUGAUCUUAUACAUUUUGAGUCCUAUAAUUGACCAUGGCUUUCCCUUGUUCUUCUAAUUCUGCAGUACUCAGUUUUUGGUUCAGUAUUGACAUUUGGAGGAAUAAUAGGUUCAUUAGUAAAUGGGAAAAUAGCAGACGUCACUGGUCGAAGAGGUGUAAGUCGGUCGAUCUUCCAUUUUAUGUCUCAAUGAAUAGUAUGAAAUUUCUUUUACCCUUCUCAAUAGUAUUUAAUUAACUGCUAGUGCAACAGGCAAUGUGGCUUUCUGAGUUAUUCUGUAUUGUUGGGUGGCUGGCAAUAGCAUUCUCAAAGGUCGUUUUCCUUUAGCUUCUCUGCAUCAUCACAAUCAUGCUUGAUGUGGCUGCCUGCAUGAAAACUGUACUUAGAAUUUUAUUUGGAAUUAAAUGGUCCUUUUCGGGUUCAAGUUGCAUAACAAGCUCUAUCUUCUAUUCCAAUGGUCUGUCAAUAGGCUAUAAUUUACUUCAGUACUUGUUCAUAGGAUGCUUGGUCACUAUAUCUUGGACGAUUUUCUCUUGGGAUUGGACUUGCAAUUAUUGCUUAUGUGGUAAGUGAUGUGAACAAUUUUAUGGUUGCUUAAUUCACGUGUGAGGCAUCUCACAGCAUUUGCCUCAUUGUUCCAAGACAGGUACCAAUAUAUGUCGCAGAAAUAACACCCAAGAACAUCCGGGGAGCAUUUACAGCUACUAAUCAGGUGUAUAUAUAUCUUAAUUAUAAUGAUUAAUAUUACUUGUUUAACUUAUAUUUAAUGAGCAUUUACUUUGUCAUCAACUCUGCAGUUCUUGAAUGCUUCUGGUCUUUCAGUAAUGUAUUUGGUGGGUAUUGUUGUUUCCUGGCGAGCCUUGGCUCUAAUUGGUAGCUUCAGCUUGCCCUUCUUUUGAUUUUAUUUGCUUAAUUGCCAAGCCCUGUAUGAUUUCUGAUGUUUUUUUUUCAUUUAAUUUUCAGCUGCUGUUCCAUGUCUGUUGCAAGUUGUUGGUUUGUUCUUCAUUCCAGAGUCACCAAGAUGGCUGGUGAGUCCAAAUCAAAAGUUCAUAAUCUGUUUUCCUGGUGGUUUUUAAUGUUGCACAAAGCAGAAACUCGAGUCCUCAGCUUUUUGUUUAACCUCUUGUUACUAUGCUUAGCUUUUUUGUUUAAGCUCUUGUUACUAUGAUUGUGAAACUAUGAGCAUAUUAAAGUUAGUAUGUAUAUCUAUUUUCAGGCGAAGAUUGGUAAAGAAAAAGAGCUAGAAGCUACUCUGCAGUGCCUUAGGGGAAAGACUGCAGAUAUUUCUAUGGAAUCUACUGACAUCAGAGUAAAAUUCCAGCUGUAAUAUUUGACUACUCAAUAAGUAGAAAACACAUGAAAUAUCUAUAAAUCUCUGGCACAGAACAACCAAUGAGCAUCCCAUAUUGCAGGAUUACACGCAGACAUUUGAGAAGGACUCGAAAGCUGGGAUUUUUGAUCUGUUUCAGCAGAAAUAUGCUUAUUCACUCUCAGUAAGGCUACUUGUACUUUUUUUUUUAUAUUUGUAAGCCCAUUCUAUAUCGUCUGUCCUAUGAUUUUUACAUUAGAUUAUUUAAUUGGUUUAGGUUGGAGUUGGAUUAAUGGUAUUGCAACCAUUAGCUGGAUCAGCUGCAAUUGCAUAUUAUGCCAGCUACAUAUUUGCAGCAGCUGGUAAAUUAACAACAUUUUGUACUAUUUCAUAGAACUAAUGAAUAUUGAAGGAAAUGACAGUGUGGAUUUUUGUUUGUAAAGAUCUUUUGACAAACAUUGGGAGUAUAUCAAUGGCUAUCAUUCAGGUAAUUGGCCAUAAAUCAAACGUAGGAUUUUUCCAUUUUAUAUACUCAAGAACAUACAAUUUCUUUUACAGCUUCCGGCUAUUGGAGUGUCCAUCCUGCUGACAGAUAGAUUUGGAAGAAGACCGCUUCUUUUGGUACACAUGUCAAAGAAUUAAAUUCAUCCGAAAAUUAAUUAUUCAGUAGGAUGGCCAAGUAUGUGUGUGUUUGUGUGUGUAUAUAUAUGUUCAUAUAUUUGCAGGCUUCUACUAUCGGGAUGGGCUUAGGUCUCACUAUUAUAGCUUUGGCAUUCGGCUUGCAGGUUCUUCUCUUACAAAAGUUUAGAACUUCUUCACUAGUUCUCACUUCUGUUUGAAAUAUUUUGAUCAUUGCUUAAAAUAUUUAUGUGCAGGACACCCAUCUUUGGAAUGAGGCUACUCCAGUCCUUGUGUACAUUGGCAUAAUGGUAAUCGUCUCUAUGUAUUGUGAGCUUACGGUAGAGGAUUCUCUACAAAGAUUUUUUCUAUAUAUAUGUAUAUAUAUAUAUAUUUUGUAUAGUCUAUCUAAUUGGUGCAAAAUAUGACUGAAUCUAUGAUCAGGGGUUCAGCAUAGCUUAUUCAUUAGGCAUGGCAGGAUUACCAAGUGUCAUAAUGUCAGAGGUAAAUGACUACGUGAUCUAGCUCUACAUCUUUUCGUGAAUGUUUCAACAGGAGUCGAUAAAUAUGCCAUUGAACUUCCAUUUUUCAGAUAUUUCCUAUAAACAUCAAAGGUUCAGCAGGAAGCCUGGUGAUUUUACUCCACAACUGCAGCAAUUGGAUAGUUACAUACACUUUCCACUUCAUGAUGGAAUGGAGCAGAACAGGUAUCUGAAACCCCAACAUCACCUAUAUACUCAUACUAUUUCCCACUUCACAAUCCUCUUUAUCUUGCUCUCUAAUUACAAGUCUGUGUUGGCUGCUGUUGCAGGAACAUUUUCUAUAUUCUGGGUCAUUUGCGCCGCAGCCGUUGCAUUCGCUGCAUUUCUGGUGCCAGAGACCAAGGGACGAACACUCGAAGAAAUUCAAAUAUCAAUUACAAAGUUAUAAUAAAUUUUAUUACGGGACUCCACAU